CCUGUACAUAUUAAUAAAAUAUGUUUCUUAAAAAAAAAAAAAAAAAACAAAAAAUCACAGAGAUGAUAUACAAAAACAACGUAAAAAAACUUAUCUUAUACAGUAAUAUUGUUAUUUAUAUUAUACGUAGGUAUUACACAAAUAAAGUUUUAUCAACUGCUUUCUUCACAUUGAUUAAAGAACAAUAAUAAUAAUAAUAAUAAUAAUAUAUGUUAUUUAGUAUUUACAGAAGAUAUUGUCAACAAAUUAAACAUUCAGUCACACGCAUCGUAUAUAAUAUUAAUAAUAAUAGUAAUAAUAUUUUAAUCGUAAAUGUGCAGUAUAAUAUUAAUAAUUUUUAUAUGAAUAACAUAUCAAAUUAAUAAUAUUGAUACGAGGAUAAUAAUAUUAAUGUGAUAAAAAAAAAAAAACCGAAUAGAAACGAUGAGAAGGGAAGGGGCCGUCGCGGGGACAAUGAUUAGCAGAGAUUUUGUCCGAUCCAAUUUAUCUCAAUUACAUUAAUUUUUAGUUCAAAUGCAUUUUAUUUUAUGGCCUAUUAUUCAAUUUCACCACUUAUUUUGUCAAUUAAAAAAAAAUAUACCUAAGUACUCCAAAUUGAUUUUGCUACCUUAUAUAUGAAGAACCGAUCAUAUCCACUCCAUAUUUCCAUUGCUGUAGAAACGGAAAAUGUAUAAUAACAAUCGAUAAUAAAUACGAACUAAUAAUUUUCCGUGGAAUGUUUUUUCACUGACUGCAGUUUAGAAAAAAUUUCACCGCACAACGCGGCUAAACCCAUGUAAUAAAACGCUUAAUAACCAAUCUGAAACAUGUCCAAAAUACAAGCAUCGAGAUUUAAAUAACUAGAAUUCUUAGAGUUUCAGUUUAAUAAAAAAUGGAUGACUAAUAAUUUAUUUUCGAUAUACUGAACGAAUCACGAGUUAUCUGAUGAAACAAAAAGUUGAAGUAAAAUAACAUGUGGCUACGAUCGAGAAAAUUGAUUGUCACUAUAAAACUCUAUGCGAACCCCCACAUCCAGGGAAUGCGUUCCAGAAAUUUAAUAAUUUGUGUAGGUAAAAAUAUUUUAUUACCAACGUAUAAAAAUAAUCGAAUGGAUUACCUAUGUAUUCAAAUUCAGUUUAUUGGACAAAAUCUCGCGUAACCGGACAUAAGGUGCGAACUGCAGUGAUAGAAUUAAUAAAAACGGACAGGUAAACGAUAUUCCAUCGAAUAUCUGACGUGACGUCGUGUCACGUUCGCGGAGAGAGAUCACCGGCGUCUUGUAAGGGACCGGACUCGAACACCUCAACAGUGGCGUUUUAAUCGGAAGGCGAACGGCCGUGCGUUGAGCAAAUUGUGUGAAACGGAAAACCGGGAAUCCCAGUAAGGAUAUUAUGUAUAAUGUAUUGAAAUAGGUUGGAUAUCCGUCGUAUUUUAAUUUUUUAAAACAGCGGGACGAAUAGUACGUGAUACAAUUUUAUUAUCAUUUUACAGGUUUUAUGUUAUCAAAUAUCGAUUCACCCAGAACGGGAAUAACGGAAAUCGUCAAAGAGAGAUCGAUAAUAUUAUUGUUGUCGGAUUUAUUUAUUUAGCGUUGAUUUUGUUGUAACAGGGGUAAAAAAAUCGGACACGUUUAGUAGGUCGGGUACCGUGCACGCGUGUCUUACAAGUCGUAUGCCUAAUCCGUAAUAAAAAUAACUCUCGUUUACGCACACAAAAACAAUAUUAAUAAAAUAGAUUACAUAAUAUUAAGUACAUCGUAUUGUUAUGAAUUAUCUUAUUCUAUACAAAUAAUAAAAUUAUAUUCCGUUUACAAAAAACCGCAAUAAAUAUAGAACAAACGUAUUGGUAAUAAUAGGUAAUUUAAACUUACAAGAUAAGAUUUUUUUUUUUUUUUUUUUUUAAAUUUCAACCGGCAUAGAUAGAAUAGGGGAAAUUUAUCGGCGGGAGUUUUUAUAAUAAUAAUUUAAAAUAUACGUGUUACUAUAUAUAUAUAUUUGCGAGUUUUAACGAAAAAAAAAAUAAAAAAAAUAGCAUCCAUCGGAAAAUAUUAUCAAUAAAUACAAACACCGUAGUAUUUUUAUUAUUUUUUUUUUUGGUUGUUUGUUAUUUCCGGUUAAUUUAAAUUGACCAAAGCCCCUCUUUCAAAAAAAAAAAAAACACGAUAACUCUGUAGGUAAUGUACUUCUGGGUCAUUUGGUAAUUUAGAAGGGGGGCUCGAUUCGUGUGCUGCAGCCACGUGCUAGGGGUAAAACCGCUAUAUCUAUCGCCGGUUGUAUUUCAGAGACCCUGAGCAUCUAUACAAUAUUUUUAUUGUAAUAAUACAUAAAUAUGAUUUUUUUUUUUUUCUUAUAAGGUUAUGUUAACCGUAAAAACGUAUACACCAUCCGCUACAAUAGCUAAUCUACUCUUAAACGGUACCUAUAUGUUCUAAGACAACAAUGAUAUCGACAGAAUUAUUAUAAUAAUUGUUAUCAACGUCAAACAUCAUAGAUGGUUGUACGAAAAUCAAACGCAGAAUAUUAUAGAACAUAGAUACAAUCGACACCGACACUUAAGCUAAUAAUAAUAAUAAUAAUAAUAAUAAUAAUAAUAUAGUAGCAGUAUAAUAUUAUAUAGAUAACGGUUAGUAUGAACGCUAUAAACGAAUAGUAAUAAUAAGUAUAGUAGUCGAUUUUAGCCCUCCUCACACGGGGAUACUCAAAACAAACUGAAAUCGCCGGGAUAUUAAUUAGGCAUUAUUAGGAGACAGGGUUACUAUACUAGACAACCAAAGUUGCCUGUCACGUGUUUCACAAACUAUGGUAUUAUGUUCUAGUCGUGUCAGUUUAUCAUUGUGUUCGUCUAUACCAGUCGUGCCGUGGAUAUUUCAGCAGCGUCGCUUGUGAACGACUAGGUGCGCCAUUAAAACCAUAAAAUAAUGGUUUUCUACGAGAGCAACAAUCACUUUCGUACAGUAAAGUUGUCAACAAUUGUUAUUAUAUUGUUUAAGGUUAUUUGACGAAAAUAUAUAUUUUCAUUAUUAUACUGUACACCCGUAUUAAUUCAAUAUUCGUAUUUUCUGAUUUUUAAAUACAUCAUGAACCAUCGAACAUAUUACUAUCACUCGAUUCUAAACGAAAAUAACUCCAUAAUCUCUCCACUCGACUAUCACGAUACAUUACAAUUGAUACACACAUACGCAUUGCGUCUCCUGUAAUAUUCACGGCGAUUACCGUUUACUCUCAGUAUAUCCGUGUGUGAAUACAGAGCCUAAACCUAACAGAAAUACGUUUCUAUAAUACGUCUUAAUAUUAUAUACAAUAUACAUAAUGGAACACGAUAAAUAGAUAAUCAAAAACAAAUAAAAAUAAAUAUUAAAUCCGGGUAAAAAAUAAUAUUCAAUACAAUAUAAUAUAUUAUAUUAUUAUCAUUUUCGUCAAGUGAUUCGUGUUCGAGUACGAAUGAAUCUCGUACGAGUGA